rnacentral:rRNA from 1 species
AACGAACGCUGGCGGCAGGCUUAACACAUGCAAGUCGGGCGCCCCGCAAGGGGAGCGGCAGACGGGUGAGUAACGCGUGGGAAUCUACCCAUCUCUACGGAAUAACGCAUGGAAACGUGUGCUAAUACCGAAUACGUCCUUCGGGAGAAAGAUUUAUCGGAGAUGGAUGAGCCCGCGUUGGAUUAGCUAGUUGGUGGGGUAAAGGCCUACCAAGGCGACGAUCCAUAGCUGGUAUGAGAGGAUGAUCAGCCACACUGGGACUGAGACACGGCCCAGACUCCUACGGGAGGCAGCAGUGGGGAAUAUUGGACAAUGGGCGCAAGCCUGAUCCAGCCAUGCCGCGUGAGUGAUGAAGGCCCUAGGGUUGUAAAGCUCUUUCACCGGUGAAGAUAAUGACGGUAACCGGAGAAGAAGCCCCGGCUAACUUCGUGCCAGCAGCCGCAGUAACAC